rfam:Camelus ferus unplaced genomic scaffold scaffold1377, whole genome shotgun sequence.
GGGUAUAUAGCUCAGUGGUAGAGCAUGUGGUUAGAAUGCAUGGGGUCCUGGGUUCAAUCCCUAGUACCUCCA